rnacentral:rRNA from 2 species
CUAUACAUGCAAGUCGAGCGAAUGGAUUAAGAGCUUGCUCUUAUGAAGUUAGCGGCGGACGGGUGAGUAACACGUGGGUAACCUGCCCAUAAGACUGGGAUAACUCCGGGAAACCGGGGCUAAUACCGGAUAACAUUUUGAACCGCAUGGUUCGAAAUUGAAAGGCGGCUUCGGCUGUCACUUAUGGAUGGACCCGCGUCGCAUUAGCUAGUUGGUGAGGUAACGGCUCACCAAGGCAACGAUGCGUAGCCGACCUGAGAGGGUGAUCGGCCACACUGGGACUGAGACACGGCCCAGACUCCUACGGGAGGCAGCAGUAGGGAAUCUUCCGCAAUGGACGAAAGUCUGACGGAGCAACGCCGCGUGAGUGAUGAAGGCUUUCGGGUCGUAAAACUCUGUUGUUAGGGAAGAACAAGUGCUAGUUGAAUAAGCUGGCACCUUGACGGUACCUAACCAGAAAGCCACGGCUAACUACGUGCCAGCAGCCGCGGUAAUACGUAGGUGGCAAGCGUUAUCCGGAAUUAUUGGGCGUAAAGCGCGCGCAGGUGGUUUCUUAAGUCUGAUGUGAAAGCCCACGGCUCAACCGUGGAGGGUCAUUGGAAACUGGGAGACUUGAGUGCAGAAGAGGAAAGUGGAAUUCCAUGUGUAGCGGUGAAAUGCGUAGAGAUAUGGAGGAACACCAGUGGCGAAGGCGACUUUCUGGUCUGUAACUGACACUGAGGCGCGAAAGCGUGGGGAGCAAACAGGAUUAGAUAC